CAAAUGAGGUGUGAUUCAAACAUACACCCACCUCCAAAUGAGAUCUGAUGCAAACAUACACCCACCUCCACUGAGGUCUGAUGCAAACAUACACCCACCUCCACUGAGGUCUGAUGCAAACAUACACCCACCUCCAAAUGAGGUGUGAUUCAAACAUACACCCACCUCCAAAUGAGAUCUGAUGCAAACAUGCAUCCACCUCCACUGAGGUCUGAUGCAAACAUACACCCACCUCCACUGAGGUCUGAUGCAAACAUACACCCACCUCCAAAUGAGGUGUGAUUCAAACAUACACCCACCUCCAAAUGAGAUCUGAUGCAAACAUACACCCACCUCCACUGAGGUCUGAUGCAAACAUACACCCACCUCCAAAUGAGGUGUGAUUCAAACAUACACCCACCUCCAAAUGAGAUCUGAUGCAAACAUGCAUCCACCUCCACUGAGGUCUGAUGCAAACAUACACCCACCUCCACUGAGGUCUGAUGCAAACAUACACCCACCUCCACUGAGGUCUGAUGCAAACAUACACCCACCUCCAAAUGAGGUGUGAUUCAAACAUACACCCACCUCCAAAUGAGAUCUGAUGCAAACAUGCAUCCACCUCCACUGAGGUCUGAUGCAAACAUACACCCACCUCCAAAUGAGGUGUGAUUCAAACAUACACCCACCUCCAAAUGAGAUCUGAUGCAAACAUGCAUCCACCUCCACUGAGGUCUGAUGCAAACAUACACCCACCUCCACUGAGGUCUGAUGCAAACAUACACCCACCUCCACUGAGGUCUGAUGCAAACAUACACCCACCUCCAAAUGAGGUGUGAUUCAAACAUACACCCACCUCCAAAUGAGAUCUGAUGCAAACAUACACCCACCUCCACUGAGGUCUGAUGCAAACAUACACCCACCUCCAAAUGAGGUGUGAUUCAAACAUACACCCACCUCCAAAUGAGAUCUGAUGCAAACAUACACCCACCUCCACUGAGGUCUGAUGCAAACAUACACCCACCUCCAAAUGAGGUGUGAUUCAAACAUACACCCACCUCCAAAUGAGAUCUGAUGCAAACAUGCAUCCACCUCCACUGAGGUCUGAUGCAAACAUACACCCACCUCCACUGAGGUCUGAUGCAAACAUACACCCACCUCCAAAUGAGGUCUGAUGCAAACAUACACCCACCUCCACUGAGGUCUGAUGCAAACAUACACCCACCUCCACUGAGGUCUGAUGCAAACAUACACCCACCUCCAAAUGAGGUGUGAUUCAAACAUACACCCACCUCCAAAUGAGAUCUGAUGCAAACAUGCAUCCACCUCCACUGAGGUCUGAUGCAAACAUACACCCACCUCCAAAUGAGGUGUGAUUCAAACAUACACCCACCUCCAAAUGAGAUCUGAUGCAAACAUGCAUCCACCUCCACUGAGGUCUGAUGCAAACAUACACCCACCUCCACUGAGGUCUGAUGCAAACAUACACCCACCUCCACUGAGGUCUGAUGCAAACAUACACCCACCUCCAAAUGAGGUGUGAUUCAAACAUACACCCACCUCCAAAUGAGAUCUGAUGCAAACAUACACCCACCUCCACUGAGGUCUGAUGCAAACAUACACCCACCUCCAAAUGAGGUGUGAUUCAAACAUACACCCACCUCCAAAUGAGAUCUGAUGCAAACAUACACCCACCUCCACUGAGGUCUGAUGCAAACAUACACCCACCUCCAAAUGAGGUGUGAUUCAAACAUACACCCACCUCCAAAUGAGAUCUGAUGCAAACAUGCAUCCACCUCCACUGAGGUCUGAUGCAAACAUACACCCACCUCCACUGAGGUCUGAUGCAAACAUACACCCACCUCCACUGAGGUCUGAUGCAAACAUACACCCACCUCCACUGAGGUCUGAUGCAAACAUACACCCACCUCCAAAUGAGGUGUGAUUCAAACAUACACCCACCUCCAAAUGAGAUCUGAUGCAAACAUACACCCACCUCCACUGAGGUCUGAUGCAAACAUACACCCACCUCCAAAUGAGGUGUGAUUCAAACAUACACCCACCUCCAAAUGAGAUCUGAUGCAAACAUACACCCACCUCCACUGAGGUCUGAUGCAAACAUACACCCACCUCCAAAUGAGGUGUGAUUCAAACAUACACCCACCUCCAAAUGAGAUCUGAUGCAAACAUGCAUCCACCUCCACUGAGGUCUGAUGCAAACAUACACCCACCUCCACUGAGAUCUGAUGCAAACAUACACUCACCUCCACUGAGGUCUGAUGCAAACAUACACUCACCUCCACUGAGGUCUGAUGCAAACAUACACCCACCUCCACUGAGGUCUGAUGCAACCAUACACACACCUGCACUGAGAUCUGAUGCAAACAUACACCCACCUCCACUGAGGUCUGAUGCAAACAUACACCCACCUCCAAAUGAGGUGUGAUUCAAACAUACACCCACCUCCAAAUGAGAUCUGAUGCAAACAUGCAUCCACCUCCACUGAGGUCUGAUGCAAACAUACACCCACCUCCACUGAGGUCUGAUGCAAACAUACACUCACCUCCACUGAGGUCUGAUGCAAACAUACACCCACCUCCACUGAGGUGUGAUUCAAACAUACACCCACCUCCAAAUGAGAUCUGAUGCAAACAUGCAUCCACCUCCACUGAGGUCUGAUGCAAACAUGCACCCAUCUCCACUGAGGUGUGAUUCAAACAUACACCCACCUCCAAAUGAGGUCUGAUGCAAACAUGAAUCCACCUCCACUGAGGUCUGAUGCAACCAUACACACACCUGCACUGAGAUCUGAUGCAAACAUGAAUUCACCUCCACUGAGGUCUGAUGCAACCAUACACACACCUGCACUGAGAUCUGAUGCAAACUUGAAUCCACCUCCACUGAGGUCUGAUGCAAACAUGCAUCUAACUCCACCGAGGUCUGAUGAAACAUGAAUCCACCUCCACCGAGGUCUGAUGCAAACAGGGCUGAAGUUGGACCAUGCCUGCUUUCCUUGUGAGCUUUUGCCCUGCCUCCCCCCCUCGUGUGACCCCCGCCCAUUGCUCCAGCGGCCCUUGGAGGGAGGGAGAAAGGGCUGUGGGCGCUUCUGCCUGUUGUCCUUAGAGGGGGGUGUCCAGGCAGGGGGUUAUCCCCCCCCCCUCGGACCCUGCACCUGACCCUUCUGCCUCUUUCCUUGUGGUGCCUCUU